UGUAUAUACGAAACCCGUUAU
rnacentral:piRNA from 1 species